rnacentral:rRNA from 1 species
GAUGAACGCUGGCGGCGUGCCUAAUACAUGCAAGUCGAGCGAAAAGACGAGGAUCUUGCUCCUCUCACGUUAGCGGCGGGCGGGUGAGUAACACGUGUAUCACCUACCUAUAAGACUGGGAUAACUUCGGGACACCGGAGAUAACACCGGAGAAUCUAUUGAAGCGCGUGGGUCAAUAGUAAAAUACGGUUUUGGUGUCUCUUAUAGGUGGAUCCCCGCCGCAUUAGCUAGUUGGUAAGGUAACAGCUUACGAAGGCAACGAUGCGUAGCCGACCUCAGAGAGUGAUCGGCCACACUGGAACUGAGCCAGGGACCAGGGUCCUACGGGAGGCAGCAGUAGGGAAUGUUACGCAAUGGGCGAAAGCUUGGCGCAGCGACGCCGCGUGAGUGAUGGAGGUCUUCGGAGCGUAAAACUCUCUUAUUAGGGAAGAACAAAUGUGUAAGGAACUGUGCACGUAUUGACGGUAACUAGUCAGAAAGCCACGGCUAACUACGUG